rnacentral:rRNA from 1 species
GUACACUCCUACGGGAGGCAGCAGUGGGGAAUAUUGGACAAUGGGCGCAAGCCUGAUCCAGCCAUGCCGCGUGAGUGAUGAAGGCCCUAGGGUUGUAAAGCUCUUUCACCGGUGAAGAUAAUGACGGUAACCGGAGAAGAAGCCCCGGCUAACUUCGUGCCAGCAGCCGCGGUAAUACGAAGGGGGCUAGCGUUGUUCGGAUUUACUGGGCGUAAAGCGCACGUAGGCGGACUAUUAAGUCAGGGGUGAAAUCCCGGGGCUCAACCCCGGAACUGCCUUUGAUACUGGUAGUCUUGAGUUCGAGAGAGGUGAGUGGAAUUCCGAGUGUAGAGGUGAAAUUCGUAGAUAUUCGGAGGAACACCGGUGGCGAAGGCGGCUCACUGGCUCGAUACUGACGCUGAGGUGCGAAAGCGUGGGGAGCAAACAGGAUUAGAAACCCCGGUAGUCCCAUGA